ACAAGAGGCACUUGCAACGCCAGUUGGUGCUUCUGCUGAUUUUGACGAGGAUGAGCUAGAAGCGGAGCUGGAAGACCUGGAGGAGGAGGAGCUCGACGAAGAGUUGCCUGUACCACCAUCGAGGAUAUCUGUGCCUGUGGAACCAUUAGCGAAAGCUACAUCAUCUUCUAAGCAGCGCAGUGAUUUGAGUGAGCUGACCAAACUUGAGGCAGAGAUGGCAAUUUAGCUGUAGCUUCUAGCUUCCGCUGACAUUGGGAGGGAUCGGCGACAUUGCAAUCUCUUUGUGUUCAUCGAUAUCCAGCCAUCCUGGUGCUUACUUGUGUGAGUGUAGUAAAUUCAGGUUGUUGUAUGAAGGAGAUCCGAUCCCUUCCACCUAGUUAGUUUGUACUGUAGCAUGGUGGUGAGCUUGGCAGAAUUCAUCAAGCAGUACCACACAUAUCUCAAUGAACGAUUCCAGACGCGUAGGAAGCCGUCAAUCUUGCCGAGCCGGCAUUUGUUUUGUUUA